GGGCCAUUAGCUCAAUUGGUAGAGCAGCUGACUCUUAAUCAGUAGGUUCAAGGUUCGAGUCCUUGAUGGCCCACCA
rnacentral:tRNA from 5 species